GGGCUUUGGAAAGAGUAAGGACAAGAAGCUGGGCUCCUCUUCCAUUAACUUCUCAUAGGAACCGUCUGUAAAAUACAAAGUUACAACAGGAAACGCAGAAGGUUAAGAUGGGAAUUACUCUCAACGAGCACCUGGCUUCUGCUGUAGGAGGCUCCCAAAAAGAGAACCAUGCUCUAAUCACUAAAGGAGGCCGCAGGGCACAGAUACAAUCGUCCAAGACAUUAUCCCACUGAAUAAACAGAGAACCAGAGAAAAGUAAUCCAACACGUCCAGCAAGUACGUACAAACCUGGGAGCUCUUGAUCAGCGGUGUCACAUAAAGCAGAUGAGACAGUAAAACCAAACGCUGCAGUGAUAUAUAAUUGUUGAUGGAAGCAUCCCUCUCCAUUUGUAUAUAUUUCACACAUACAAAUAUAUACACAACCUUUGAGUCUGGUUCUCCUCUCAUCAGCAAGGGCAUCAAUCAGGAGUUACGCUGGUAUAAAAUUGGUGUAAACAUGAGAAGAACCAGCCCCAUCAGUUAUAUAAUUUGUAUGUCUCGUGUCUAUUUGUCUAUCUCUAUGUGCCAGGUUUGGCCAUCCUUAUUCAUACGGAGUAAGUCAGUUUAAGUGUCAGGCACCUUAGUGAGGACCAAGGACCUGGCCCUGUUGGUGCAGGGGUAAAUGACUACACGUGGUGCAAGACGACAACAAAUCAAGCCCUCAUAUUCUUUCAAAUGAAUUUUUGUGUGACUUCACUGCAGUCGAUCGAUGUGAAAUGGACAGUCCUGAAGAUUAAGCCCCUUCUAUUUAUCUAUAGAGCAGCAACACUAGCACUAGUUUACCAUUCCCACUGUCCAUGGCUUACUCAGUCCUUGGCUUCUCCACAGACACUUCCAACAAGGGAGCUACUGUCCAAUGUGAUGAGGAGACCCAUCCAUUAAGAAUUGGUCUGAGACCAAGAACUCAUUCCACGUAGUCUUCCCAAGAACCUUCAGGUAGUAACGACUUCUGGAUGCUCUCAUGCUGAACUUGAUCUGGAGUUGAAAGGCUCCACACCCUAUUACAACCCCAUAAGCCACCUGGCCCCCUUUAAUAUCUUUAUA